UACGUAGGGUGCAAGCGUUGUCCGGAAUUAUUGGGCGUAAAGAGCUCGUAGGCGGCUUGUCACGUCGACUGUGAAAACCCGGGGCUCAACUCCGGGCCUGCAGUCGAUACGGGCUGGCUUGAGUGCGGUAGGGGAGACUGGAAUUCCAGGUGUAGCGGUGAAAUGCGUAGAUAUCUGGAGGAACACCGGUGGCGAAGGCGGCAUCCUGGACCGGCAUUGACGCUGAGGCGCGAAAGCCAGGGGAGCAAACGGG
rnacentral:rRNA from 1 species